rnacentral:rRNA from 1 species
UACGGAGGGUGCAAACGUUUGCUCGGAAUUAUUGGGCGUAAAGCGUACGUAGGCGGUCCAGCAAGUCGGGAGUGAAAUCCCUCGGCUCAACCGAGGAAGUGCUUUCGAAACUACUGGGCUUGAAUACUGGAGAGGGUUGCGGAAUUCCCGGUGUAGAGGUGAAAUUCGUAGAUAUUAGCUAGAACACCAGUGGCGAAGGCGGCCAACUGGUCCGGAACUGACGCUGAGGUGCGAAAGCGUGGGGAGCAAACAGG